rnacentral:lncRNA from 1 species
GUGAGCUGUAGGGUGGAACUGGCCAGCACCAGAUGCUUCCUCCAUCAGCCCAGAGCUGCUGCAGUCACAGGGCUCCUGCACAGGCAGCAGCAGCACACAUACACUUCCCCUUAAGAGAACAGUUUUAUGCGAAGCUGAGAGUGCUCAGAACUACAAAGCUCACCUGAGCAUCCAGAGCCAGAGCUUGUUAGAAUCCCCCAGCCACCACAUCCUGAGCACCCCAAACACAAAGGACCUUAUCCAUCAGCCAACCCCCAGGAAUCUGCCCAGGAACGCCUUUGGGAGCAAUGCAGGAAACCAGCCAGCAGUGCCAGAGACGGGGUUUUAUAGUGCCACAACUGGACUUCAUAAUCCUUCGUUCUCUCCAGCCAUUUCCCAGAAACUCGUGAAUCUUUGGGUCUCAAUCUAUUUCCAGCCCUAGGAUCAAACUCAAACUGGGCCAGAAGCUUCAUGGCUGAGCCUAAAUGGCAGUCUGGGGCCAUGGGCAGGAGUGGCGAAGCCCCAGCUGAGGCCACCCCUCAUUCCCUGUAAACACAUUUAUUAAUUCUUAAAUUCACCUUUUAAAAGUCUUUCCAUCCAUCUCAGUAACGGGGGUUUAUUAAUUUAAAUACACAGGAAGGAACAUUAUUAUCACAGCAUCCUAUAAUAUCUUUUUUUUCCUGAAAGUAUCAGCUCCACCCACAAACAUACUUUUAAUUUAAUUUUAUUGGGUCUGUCUAUUAAAAUUCAUCAAUGUUGAUAUGCCUAAAUCAUAAAAUAGCAAAGAACUGCACUUCAGCUGAGACAAAACUCCAAGAAGACAAAAUGUUUCCAUUUAAGAAAUGUUUAAAAAAAGAGCACCAGGAAGAGCAAAAUUAAUAAUAUGUUUUGCUGCAGGAUUAUUUACUGUGCCUUAGUGUCACAGGUAUUUUUACCAGAUGACUUGCCUUCAAAGCCUGAACUCAC